rnacentral:sRNA from 1 species
CGCCCGUCACACCAUGGGAGUUGGUAAUGCCCAAAGUCGGUGAGUUAACCUCGGAGACCAUUGCCUAAGGCAGGACCGAUGACUGGGGUGAAGUCGUAACAAGGUAUCCCUACGAGAACGUGGGGAUGGAACACCUCCUUUCUACGGAAAAUUACUACUACUAAAUGUGGUUAAAAUCAAACUAACACAUUAGAAAAUUUAAUAAUUUGAAAUAAUUUGUUCUAUUAAUUCAUUUUCUCCUUGUUUAGUUUUGUAAAUAUUAUUUUUUUUGUAAAGUAAAUUUUUUUUAACUUUUUUUAAUGAAUUUUUUAAUGCAAUAGCAAUUUGAAAUUGAUUAUGUACCUAGUUUUGAGAGCUCUAAAACUCUCAAAAUGUCUGUAAAAAGACAAUAUUAGCUCUUUCAAAACUGAACAGUAACAAUUUUAUAUCUGAUCUAAAAAUCAGAUAAUAUUCCAAAGUCUUUUAAAAUUAAACCGAGUUUAUUUUUAAAAUUUUAUAACUUUUAGUUAUAAAAACUCUAAAAUUGUUAAAAUACCUUAAGAUAUAUUAUCUAAAUAGGCUAUACUCAGAAGAUAGUUUUAACUUUUUAAAUAAAUAAGAGUAUUUGGUGGAUGCCUUGGGUCUGAAAGUCGAUGAAGGACGUGAUUACCUGCGAUAAGCUUCGUGGAGCUGGAAAUAAGCUAUGAUACGGAGAUUUCCGAAUGGGGAAACCCAACCUAGCAAACCUAGGUUGCGCUUUAAUGAAUUCAUAAUUAAAGCAGCGAGAUACGUUGUGAAUUGAAACAUCUUAGUAACAACAGGAAAAGAAAAUAAAUAAUGAUUCCCAAAGUAGUGGCGAGCGAGAUGGGAGGAGCCCAAACCGUUUUUACGGGGUUAUAGGACAUUUUAAUUGAGUUACAAAAUUAUAUAAUAGCAGAAAAAGUUGGAAUGCUUUGACAAAGAAGGUGAAAUCCCUGUACGCAAAAUUAUAUAAUCUCAUAAAUGUAUCCUGAGUAGGGCGGGGCACGUGAAACCCUGUCUGAAUUUGCCAGGACCACCUGGUAAGGCUAAAUACUAAUCAGACACCGAUAGUGAACUA